CGAUAUUUUGAGGGUGGAGCUAUUAAUUUAGCCCCUACUGUCUGCCAGGCACGGUGUUUGGCUCCUCGGUGCCUCUCUGUCCCUCAGUUUCCAUUUCUGUAAAAUGGGGGUAAGUCCUGCCUCACACUGGGAGGAUGAGUGAGGCCACGUCAGUGGUUGAUGUCGACCCUGGCCCUAGGCCCAUUGAUAUGACUGGUCAUGUGUCUGCAGAACGGAGCCCCCCACCUGAUGGGCAGCGGGGCAGUCAGCUCCUGGCACGGCAGCUGCAGGAUUUCUGGAAGAAGUCCCGGAACACCUUGGCACCCCAGCGGCUGCUCUUCGAAGUGACCAGCGCUAACGUUGUCAAGGACCCGCCCUCCAAGUACGUGCUCUACACCCUCGCCGUGAUAGGCCCAGGGCCGCCAGAUUGCCAGCCAGCCCAGAUCUCUCGCCGUUACUCGGACUUUGAGCGGCUGCACCGAAACCUGCAGCGGCAAUUCCGGGGCCCAAUGGCUGCCAUCUCCUUCCCCCGUAAGCGGCUGCGCCGGAAUUUUACUGCAGAGACCAUUGCCCGCCGUAGCCGGGCCUUUGAGCAGUUUUUGGGUCACCUGCAGGCAGUGCCUGAGCUGCGCCAUGCCCCGGACCUGCAGGACUUCUUCGUGCUGCCGGAGCUGCGGCAGGCACAGAGCCUCACCUGUACUGGCCUCUAUCGUGAGGCUCUG
rnacentral:sRNA from 1 species